rnacentral:rRNA from 1 species
UGAAUUGACGGGGGCCCGCACAAGCGGCGGAGCAUGCGGAUUAAUUCGAUGCAACGCGAAGAACCUUACCAAGGCUUGACAUACACCGGUAACGCCCAGAGAUGGGUGCCCCUUUGUGGUCGGUGUACAGGUGGUGCAUGGUUGUCGUCAGCUCGUGUCGUGAGAUGUUGGGUUAAGUCCCGCAACGAGCGCAACCCUCGACCUUAGUUGCCAGCAUUCAGUUGGGCACUCUAAGGUGACUGCCGGCUAAAAGUCGGAGGAAGGUGGGGAUGACGUCAAAUCAUCAUGCCCCUUAUGACCUGGGCUACACACGUGCUACAAUGGGCGGUACAAAGGGUCGCGAACCCGCGAGGGGGAGCCAAUCCCAAAAAGCCGCUCUCAGUUCGGAUUGCAGGCUGCAACUCGCCUGCAUGAAGCCGGAAUCGCUAGUAAUCGCGGAUCAGCACGCCGCGGUGAAUACGUUCCCGGGCCUU